GCUGGCAGGCAAACGUGUCAUAUCCUGGUGUUCUCCAAGUGGGUAGUAUAGAUCAAAUGGACUUUGAUUCACUUCAGGUCUCUCUUACGCUGCCUGUUUUUUUUAGCCACUUCUCUAUAUGUCCUCAGUGAGCCUCACACGUUUGGUUAAAAAAGGAUUCGGGGAACCUUGAGCCACUUCUAAUUGUGUUCGCCUCACUAACAACACCUCUGCCUCCAGCUUCCCUCGCACCAUGGCAGUAUACUCUUGUGUUUUUAAGGACCACAGCUUCAAAUGAUGAAUCCUAAAGAUGACUAAAGAGGGGCCAAAGCCACAUGUCACAGGGAAUGUGAUUGGGUGGUGGAUCUGUGGCCGCUCCCAAAUUAAGAUGGCUUCUCGUUAUCACAAAAUGUUUGCCUGAUGAGGUCCUGAAAUGGUGAAUAAGUGUGCGGGAGCUGUUUUUGCAGUUUUUGAUCAACUCGUCCCUCUCCUGCGCACCUGCUCCGCCAAAUGUGCAAAGCUUUCUUUAGUUUUUCACAGAAACGUGAAGUCACUGUGACCUUGACCUUUGACCUUCAGGCACCAAAAAGUAAUCAGUUCAUCUUUGAGUCCAAGUGAACGUUUGUACCAAAUUUUAAAGACAUUCCCUUAAGCUAAUUUUAGGAUAUCAUGUUCAAGAAAAAUAUAAGAAAAUCUUGACCUUUGACCCCCAGAAUCGAAUCAGUUCAUUCUUGAUUCCAUGUGAAUAUUUGUAACAAAUUUAAGGGAAAUUCCCUCAAGGUAUUCUUGAGAUAUCACGUUCCCGGGAAUGGGACGGACGGACAACCUGAAAAAAUGAUGUCUCCGUUUUCGGCGCGGAGGCAUAAAAAGGAGAUAAGAAGAAUGAUCAUCUGAACAUAGGUUUAGUAAUAGUAUUACAUUCUAUUGCGUGUUCCUCCCAUGAUGCAUUUGUAUCCGUGUGAAGGUGUUGUUUAUCCUGGGAUAACUCACGGAGGAAAAAAAUAAAGAUCUCCAUCAAAACUGAAGCAGCAGUUCAGAUGAAGUGUUUUGUGUAUGUUCAAAUACAAACAAAAAAAAGCUGUCACAGUUAUUAUUUUGGUCAAUUCGCAUCGGGGCAUCGUUUUUUCCAUCAAUAAAAUAACAAAUAAAAAGGCUUAUUGGCAACUUACACUCGAAUUAAGUGAUAAAGUAACAAGUAUUCAGCUUUUGAGGCCAAAACAACAAAAACUGUUUUAAAUUAAUUACAUUUUUGUUCAUUGUACACAUACCUGUACUCUAGAGUCCAAUUUCCAUUUUUUUGGGUAAUGUCUUUCUCAUAUUAUGUGUUAUCAUCUUUGUGGUGAGCUCCAUUUACCACAUACUUCCUUCAAAGUCAUAACCACAUGAAUAUUUGUGCUUUUAUCUCAUUUUGAUCCAAGGAUAAAAAUGAAGAAAAGAUGUUUCAGUCAAAUGUGCAGCAACAGAUAAAAAACUGGGAAAAUUAAAAUUGAGAGAAUAAAGUACAUACAGUAUGAAGAAUUGAAACAUAUUGUAUUUAUGUAUAUAUGCAUAAUACUUUUUGGAACCAAAUUAAAUAUUUGGAAGCCCUGUUAAAAAGUAAAUUAUAUUGUAUAUCCUUGUGGUUGCAACAACUAGUAGCUUAUGCUGCCAUUACAUCACUUCUCAUGAUGCAAGAUAGAAACUGCUUUCAGGAGUAUUUACGUCACUGAACAGCUGCAAUGAGCUAAACUUCUGUUUUUGAGCAUCAAGUAAAACUUCAGGCACAACAGAGAAAGCCCGAUAUCUUUCCUGUUUCUCUGUAUUUCAGAUGGUGCUCCACUGUGAUGGGAGAUUUUUAAGGCUGUAGUGAUGUUGUCAGCCAUUUUCCUUGAGUGCUUUCAGCGUAAUGGUCAGUCCUCCAGCAUCACAGAGCUGAAACUCGUCCACUCCAUCAUCAUGUGGCUGCUGAUGAGCCAAAGCCGGGGCUGGGUCUGCUUCAUCCCCAUGAUCUUCCCUCUCCUCAUCUUCCUCAAAGUCAUCUGGAUAGUCAGCUUGUUCUGAAAUUUCAGGAACCUCCUGAAAGGCUGAGAGAGAAAGAACCUGCUGAGUGAUUGCCACUGUUGUACCAGAAUAAAAGAUACCAAGACUGAA